AUUCUGGAGCACUUCCUAGUCUGCCUACUUCCUACGCUGCUUUGCUAAGAAUUAAGAAGAGUUCGUCUUCGUCCCUCUUUGGUCCAAAAGCAAGACCACAGCCUCGCUAUAACAGCCCUUCGCUGGGAACUCUGAGUGCCCCCUCACCCAGCAGGCGCAGGGAACCUCAGCAGUCCUCUCCGGUCAACCUCCAGCACUCUUCGGACGCCUUCAGACAAGAUGAAAGUGUGGAGUAUGGGCCGAUAUUUGUGCAAGAACCAGACGAUAUAAUUUUUCCAACUGAUUCUGAUGAAAAGAAAGUAGCGCUGAGUUGUGAAGUUCGUGGCAAUCCAGCUCCCAAUUACAGAUGGCUGCGCAAUGGAACAGAAAUAGAUUUGGAAAGUGAUUAUCGCUACAGCUUGAUAGACGGGAACUUCAUCAUCAUCAAUCCGAGCGAAGCCAAGGAUGCCGGCCGCUAUCAGUGCGUGGCCGCCAGCGGCCUGGGGAGCAUUGUCAGCAGAGAAGCUGUU